rnacentral:rRNA from 1 species
UUUUAUGGAGAGUUUGAUCCUGGCUCAGGAUGAACGCUGGCGGCGUGCCUAAUACAUGCAAGUCGAGCGAACGGACGAGAAGCUUGCUUCUCUGAUGUUAGCGGCGGACGGGUGAGUAACACGUGGAUAACCUACCUAUAAGACUGGGAUAACUUCGGGAAACCGGAGCUAAUACCGGAUAAUAUUUUGAACCGCAUGGUUCAAAAGUGAAAGACGGUCUUGCUGUCACUUAUAGAUGGAUCCGCGCUGCAUUAGCUAGUUGGUAAGGUAACGGCUUACCAAGGCAACGAUGCAUAGCCGACCUGAGAGGGUGAUCGGCCACACUGGAACUGAGACACGGUCCAGACUCCUACGGGAGGCAGCAGUAGGGAAUCUUCCGCAAUGGGCGAAAGCCUGACGGAGCAACGCCGCGUGAGUGAUGAAGGUCUUCGGAUCGUAAAACUCUGUUAUUAGGGAAGAACAUAUGUGUAAGUAACUGUGCACAUCUUGACGGUACCUAAUCAGAAAGCCACGGCUAACUACGUGCCAGCAGCCGCGGUAAUACGUAGGUGGCAAGCGUUAUCCGGAAUUAUUGGGCGUAAAGCGCGCGUAGGCGGUUUUUUAAGUCUGAUGUGAAAGCCCACGGCUCAACCGUGGAGGGUCAUUGGAAACUGGAAAACUUGAGUGCAGAAGAGGAAAGUGGAAUUCCAUGUGUAGCGGUGAAAUGCGCAGAGAUAUGGAGGAACACCAGUGGCGAAGGCGACUUUCUGGUCUGUAACUGACGCUGAUGUGCGAAAGCGUGGGGAUCAAACAGGAUUAGAUACCCUGGUAGUCCACGCCGUAAACGAUGAGUGCUAAGUGUUAGGGGGUUUCCGCCCCUUAGUGCUGCAGCUAACGCAUUAAGCACUCCGCCUGGGGAGUACGACCGCAAGGUUGAAACUCAAAGGAAUUGACGGGGACCCGCACAAGCGGUGGAGCAUGUGGUUUAAUUCGAAGCAACGCGAAGAACCUUACCAAAUCUUGACAUCCUUUGACAACUCUAGAGAUAGAGCCUUCCCCUUCGGGGGACAAAGUGACAGGUGGUGCAUGGUUGUCGUCAGCUCGUGUCGUGAGAUGUUGGGUUAAGUCCCGCAACGAGCGCAACCCUUAAGCUUAGUUGCCAUCAUUAAGUUGGGCACUCUAAGAUGACUGCCGGUGACAAACCGGAGGAAGGUGGGGAUGACGUCAAAUCAUCAUGCCCCUUAUGAUUUGGGCUACACACGUGCUACAAUGGACAAUACAAAGGGUAGCGAAACCGCGAGGUCAAGCAAAUCCCAUAAAGUUGUUCUCAGUUCGGAUUGUAGUCUGCAACUCGACUACAUGAAGCUGGAAUCGCUAGUAAUCGUAGAUCAGCAUGCUACGGUGAAUACGUUCCCGGGUCUUGUACACACCGCCCGUCACACCACGAGAGUUUGUAACACCCGAAGCCGGUGGAGUAACCUUUUAGGAGCUAGCCGUCGAAGGUGGGACAAAUGAUUGGGGUGAAGUCGUAACAAGGUAGCCGUAUCGGAAGGUGCGGCUGGAUCACCUCCUUUCUAAGGA